rnacentral:lncRNA from 1 species
AUCAAUAGAAGGGGAAUCAACACUAACAUCUAUCACAUAAGCUAAAUACACAGCAUACCCCUUCUCAACCAUACACUAAGCUUUAAGGAAAGAGUUAACUCUACUAGGAGUGUGAUCGAAAAUACCACUGCACUCAACACGUGGAAUACAUGGUAUAGCCAACGUCACGGUCUUAGCGACAAUCAAGAAUAGCAUAAUGGGGCGACAAUAAGUCCAUUCCCAAGAUAAUAUCAAAAUCAACCAUGCCGCAUAACAAUAAAUCUGCUCUGGUCUCAAAACCAAUAGUAACCAAGCACGCCCGAUAAAUGUG